CAGAUGUAGAGGAGAGGGGGUAUGGAGAUGGGUGAUCCGCUGUGGCGACCCCUAAUGGAAGAAUCCGAAAGAUGAAAAAGAGAGAGACAUCUGAUCAGCUGUUUUAGUUUAUUUUUAAAGUAGACCCAUAGGUAGCGCUGUUUUUUGAGCUGAUUUUGAAUCUCUAACAGCUGCGUUCAAUGUCUUGCUUUGGAUAAUCAUGAGGAAAGGUCCCGGCCGCCCCCGAACCUGUCUGCCCGUAGAUGCUCCAUCAAAAACAUCAGUUACUGGAACAGCGUUAGAGGAACUCCGCUGGUGCCUGAUGUGACAGGCCUUGGCCUGCUCUGAAGACUUGAGUGAUGGCCCUUUUUGAUAUUAACUCGCACUUAGAACAAGACUUGAUCACUAUUUACUUUAUUUAUCUUAUUUUUAAACUAAUUAUUUAUUUGAUUUCCUUGUAAAAGAGAGAGAACUGCGUUUAAAAAUGCGAUGGUGACAAUAAAACAUAUUGAAACACGUAUUUUUUUACGCAUUAUACUUGUUUGUAAUCUCACUGUAUUCACAGUUCAGUGUACAGAGAAUAUAGUUUAGUUUUGGUGUUUGUUCAUGGUCUGUGCUCUUCCAGAAGCGGCUUUAUUUCCUUAAAUAAUCAUUUUUACACGACUCAAAUCAUAGUUUAUCUUUGCCAUUAACAUUUAACAAAAACAUUACAACAACUAUUUUAUACAGUUACUAAAUUAUGCCGAAUAAAUGAAUACAAAUAUCGGGCGGAACUAUUUACCUGGACUCCUGUUACCGGUCGCACUCAUUAAUGGACGGACCGAAUGUUUCGAUGUAGUGCGUAUUUGUUCAGCGCUCUUUUUUAAAAGACCGUUGAUAUAUAGUCACUUUUUAUAACUUAAAUGUACCAUUUAUUUACUAAAACAAUUAAUUGAAGUUUUUUAUUUAUGUAGAGCACUUUUGUGUAAGCUGUAACUCUUCGCCUGACCUGGUGGUGGGACUAACAGCAGCGAGACAUUAAAAUACACUUUAUUAUUAUGAUUUUUAUGAUUAUUUAUUUCGCAGACGUUUGCUGCUUACCAUGCAGUAAUGCGCCUUUUCUCAUAACCCGUAGUUUUAACGCAUGUGCUACACACUAAAUUUCCCGAACAUUGUGCAUCUCAUCACGUAUUGAGAAGCAGUGCAUCAUGGGAAUUGUAAGCGGGUUUUGCUCACCAUGAUGGUGAACAGUGUGUGCUGUGGUGCAGUCCGUAGCUGAUGCUUGUAGAACUCAUACUUACCUGGCAGGGGAGAUACCAUGAUCAAGAAGGUGGUUCACCCAGGGCGAGGCUCAACCAUUGCACUCCGGUUGUGCUGACCCCUGCGAAUUCCCCAAAUGUGGGAAUCUCGACUGCAUAAUUUGUGGUAGUGGGGGACUGCGUUCGCGCUCUCCCCUGAUUUUACUGUAUAAAAAUAGAGUUCUUGCAUAAUUUUGUUUUUUCGGUUUGUUCUUUUUCCUUCAUUGUGGUUAUGUUGUAUUAUUAAUUUAUUUUCACUUUUUUUUGGUUGUGUUCAAUCUGCUUCCAUAUUAUCCUGUCCCAGAGGUGGGAAGUAUUUAAGUUGAUAUUUUAUGAUAUCAGUACUUUACUAUUUUAUUUUUUUGGACAUCUUUUUACUUUCAUUCAUUACAUUUAUACAUAAAUAUCUGUACUUUCUAAUUCUUACAUUUUCGAACCAGCCUCGCUACUUUUAGUAUUAUUUCUUCUCAUUGAGCGCUGCUUCCAGCCUAUCAACCCUUCAUUGUGCUGCUUUUUCACCAUAUCACUGGUGUAUUGUUUUCUGGCUAUCAGAUGUAGACGUAGGCAAGCGGAGCAAACAAUGAGCAAGACAACAAUAGGAAUGAUACAUGUGAAUUGAGAGGGAGUCACCGAUGUAAAAAUAAAUAAAAACAAAGACAUUCCUCAACACCCAUGGCCAUUUAUAAGGGAGAUGUUCUACGUAAAAAAGUGCUGGAUUUCAAAAAUUCGCCAUAAAAUUUGAGAAAACACAUACAGGUAAUCUAACGUUUUAUUGUUAUAUCUUUCUCGUCAUUAGACAUUUUAAUGUUUAAAGUUUUUUUUUGUUUUCCCUACAAUUUUGUUCGACUUUUAUAUAAGGGAUGCUGCCAUUUUUUUUUAAUGAAGGAUGUUCUUAAUUUCUGUAGCAUGUAGCUGUCAUUUGAAAGGUUUAGUCAGAUAGUUUUUAUAUGUUGUAGAACUGCUAUACAGGGGAAGUAUAAAUGAUAAACUUGCUGUUUGAACUUUAAUAAAAUUACCUUAAAUUUGUCAUACGUAACAUAUCAUCAAACAUUUGAGUUGUUUUCAAAGACAGCUGGAAAAACCCUACAAUCUGGGAUAUGGCCUGGUGAAAAAAAAAAAAAAAUCAUGUUUUAUAAACAUUACAACACAAUAUACACAAACAUUUCAUCGUUAGUGUUUCACCAUGUGGAACAUUUUAUAAUCUGAAAUCCCCGGACAUAGCGUGUAAAAAUAAUUACAGAAAAAAGGCUCAGAACAUCAUUCUGGAUCCCUCACAUCCAAGCCAUAUGCUUUUUAAUUUUUGUGUUCUGGCCGACGCUACAGGGCACCAAACUUUGAUUUAGAUGGUUUUGAUGAUGAGGUGAUUGAAAGUGACAAAGGCACACCUUUUGCUUUUGAAGUAACACAACUUUUGUCUAAAAGCUUAGCAAUUGAUUGUUAUUUUAAUAUUCCCUAUCCCCCACAGACAGCUGGAGUGGUAGACAGGCCCGAAAUUGGACUGUUGUUCUCCCGACAGUAUUCACAGAAAUGAGAAUGACCCCAUCUUUAACAAAAAAUGUUUAAAGUUUGACCACGAGUCACACUGGUCGCACUGACAUCUCUUUCUUAAGUAACCUGGAAGUGAUGGUGGACAACUACUUUUCUGCCCUGGUUAAGAAAUUGAUGAUGUUUCACUAACUCUCCCUCUGCCCACAGAUAAGCCAAGACACUCUUUUGCAGGUUCUGAUACGAAGCCUGAAGCCUACCAAGGUCGGUGAGCCGAAGUUUUUGGGUCCAGCGACUGUUCUAGCUGUAACCAGAACAGGGGUUCUGACUGAUUAUUAGCCACAGUGAAUUCACACAAGCAGGAUCAAAAGAGCACCCCUUAAUCUGUGCACUUAUUGGUCUAAUGGCCUAAGAAGCCUACCUAAUUUAUAUCACCGAUCCUGUUCCCAUGAAGAACAUCUUAGGUAAUGGUGUGAGGCGCUAAAUAAUAAUAAAUAAAUAAAUGAGUUAAAGUGGCCAUUGUUAGUAUUAAGUUGGGCCCCACACUAGUUCUCCUAUGUUGUCUGUUCAGUGUCUAUAGGAUCUUUACGAUGAGUACACCGAAUGUCUUUGUCUGGGCUCACACAUCUGUGAUUACUAUGUUUUCUUACCCAAGCUGGAACAGUUUUAGUUCAAGUUUUUUCCGUGUGCAUAUAUACUUGUUUGUAAUCUGCAUUAAACUGAAGAACAUAUGCACCA